rnacentral:rRNA from 1 species
GAUGAACGCUGGCGGCGUGCCUAAUACAUGCAAGUCGAGCGAACAGACGAGGAGCUUGCUCCUCUGACGUUAGCGGCGGACGGGUGAGUAACACGUGGAUAACCUACCUAUAAGACUGGGAUAACUUCGGGAAACCGGAGCUAAUACCGGAUAAUAUAUUGAACCGCAUGGUUCAAUAGUGAAAGACGGUUUUGCUGUCACUUAUAGAUGGAUCCGCGCCGCAUUAGCUAGUUGGUAAGGUAACGGCUUACCAAGGCAACGAUGCGAAGCCGACCUGAGAGGGGUAGCAGCCCAAAGGGAAACAGAACCACGAACGAAACACUGCGGGGGGGAAGAAGUAGGAAUUCUUACGAAAGGGGGAAAAGCCGGAAGAGAAAACGAGGGGGGAGUAAGAAAGGUCUUGGCAUCAAAAACCUUUUUUUUGGGGGAAAAAAAAAUGUGAAAGAAAAAAUGCAGGUCUGGAGGGAACAAAAGAAGAAAGCCCCGCCUAACGACG